GUCGAACGGUACAGGAGCAGCUUGCUGCUUUGCUGACGAGUGGCGGACGGGUGAGUAAUGUCUGGGAAACUGCCCGAUGGAGGGGGAUAACUACUGGAAACGGUAGCUAAUACCGCAUAACGUCGCAAGACCAAAGAGGGGGACCUUCGGGCCUCUUGCCAUCGGAUGUGCCCAGAUGGGAUUAGCUAGUAGGUGGGGUAAAGGCUCACCUAGGCGACGAUCCCUAGCUGGUCUGAGAGGAUGACCAGCCACACUGGAACUGAGACACGGUCCAGACUCCUACGGGAGGCAGCAGUGGGGAAUAUUGCACAAUGGGCGCAAGCCUGAUGCAGCCAUGCCGCGUGUAUGAAGAAGGCCUUCGGGUUGUAAAGUACUUUCAGCGGGGAGGAAGGGAGUAAAGUUAAUACCUUUGCUCAUUGACGUUACCCGCAGAAGAAGCACCGGCUAACUCCGUGCCAGCAGCCGCGGUAAUACGGAGGGUGCAAGCGUUAAUCGGAAUUACUGGGCGUAAAGCGCACGCAGGCGGUUUGUUAAGUCAGAUGUGAAAUCCCCGGGCUCAACCUGGGAACUGCAUCUGAUACUGGCAAGCUUGAGUCUCGUAGAGGGGGGUAGAAUUCCAGGUGUAGCGGUGAAAUGCGUAGAGAUCUGGAGGAAUACCGGUGGCGAAGGCGGCCCCCUGGACGAAGACUGACGCUCAGGUGCGAAAGCGUGGGGGAGCAAACAGGAUUAGAUACCCUGGUAGU
rnacentral:rRNA from 1 species